UACGUAGGGGCUAGCGUUGUCCGGAAUCAUUGGGCGUAAAGCGCGUGUAGGCGGUCCGGUAAGUCCGCUGUGAAAGUCGGGGGCUCAACCCUCGAAUGCCGGUGGAUACUGUCGGGCUAGAGUGCGGAAGAGGCGAGUGGAAUUCCUGGUGUAGCGGUGAAAUGACGCAGAGUAUCAGGAGAACACCGUAGUGCGAAGGCGCUCUG
rnacentral:rRNA from 1 species